rnacentral:rRNA from 1 species
UACGAAGGGGGCUAGCGUUGCUCGGAAUCACUGGGCGUAAAGGGUGCGUAGGCGGGUCUUUAAGUCAGGGGUGAAAUCCUGGAGCUCAACUCCAGAACUGCCUUUGAUACUGAAGAUCUUGAGUUCGGGAGAGGUGAGUGGAACUGCGAGUGUAGAGGUGAAAUUCGUAGAUAUUCGCAAGAACACCAGUGGCGAAGGCGACUUACUGGACACAUAUUGACGCUGAGGUGCGAAAGCGUGGGGAGCAAACAGG